UUUCAAGGUGUGGCUGAGAUGUGCUUUUCUGCACUGUUAUUGACAACCAUCUUAUCCGCAGGUUUUGCCUGCAUUCUUUGUAUCAUUAUGAUGGCAAGAAAGUUCUUCACGAAAAGCUUCACUACGGCAAUUAAUUGGGUCCCAAUGAAGAUUUUCAUCUCAAGUGAAGCUGAAGCACGACAAAACUUAUCAGAUCACAUCUAAAAUCGGCAGAAAAUAGCUAACAUCAAUCGGCUCAACAAGAGGCAAGACCGAUUUUCCAGAUUGAAAAGCUUAAUGUAAAGUUAUUUUUCCUGUAAUAGAAAAAAGCCGAUCAAAUGGAACUUAAUGGAAUCAGAGAUCCAAUCCGAAUCUUGUAAUGAAUUGUAUAAAAUGAGUUUUUUUUUUUUUUUUGAAGAAGUUAGAGAAAUGUUUUUUCAUGAUGUGCGUACAUACAUUUUCUUUAUGAUUGUCGAUGUUUGUAUUCUAGUGUGGAAAGCAAGUUCAAUAAAAGUCAACA